GAAGGCAAGAAUCGGAAAUCAAAGGUGAAAAAAAAAAAACCGUUUUCUAGGGCUCAUCAGUGAUGCCAUUGGAGUAGCAUUUAGUAGCACUAUGAUCGGACAUUAUCUUACCUUGAGGGUAUUAGUAGAAGAAAAUAUGAGGAUAAGCGGAGAACGACACAGAGUACUGUGGAGGGCAGUGGAAUUGCUUUAGCUAGUUGGAUGCCUAAAACAUGGGGAAGGACGCAAGAAAGAGAGAUGCUCCAUGACAAUGAUGAGACACUUUCGGGAACCUCAUGUAGAACAAAAGCAUUGUCUGAAGCUGCAGUGAAAUCCAAAUAUCAUCGAAAGAGUGCUGAAGUGAUUCGACUUCCUGAGAUUGUUCCAAGAGAUUCUAGUUACCAGAAGCCCUUUCCUCUUCUCCUGCAAAACCAGCAAAUAUUGAAGGUUU